ACUCAAAGGAAUAGACGGGGGCCCGCACAAGCAGCGGAGCAUGUGGCUUAAUUCGACGCAACGCGAAGAACCUUACCAAGGCUUGACAUACACCGGAAACACUCAGAGAUGGGUGCCCCCUUGUGGUCGGUGUACAGGUGGUGCAUGGCUGUCGUCAGCUCGUGUCGUGAGAUGUUGGGUUAAGUCCCGCAACGAGCGCAACCCUUGUUCUGUGUUGCCAGCAUGCCUUUCGGGGUGAUGGGGACUCACAGGAGACUGCCGGGGUCAACUCGGAGGAAGGUGGGGACGACGUCAAGUCAUCAUGCCCCUUAUGUCUUGGGCUGCACACGUGCUACAAUGGCCGGUACAAUGAGCUGCGAUACCGCGAGGUGGAGCGAAUCUCAAAAAGCCGGUCUCAGUUCGGAUUGGGGUCUGCAACUCGACCCCAUGAAGUUGGAGUUGCUAGUAAUCGCAGAUCAGCAUUGCUGCGGUGAAUACGUUCCCGGGCCUUGUACACACCGCCCGU
rnacentral:rRNA from 1 species